GGAGCCGUAGUUUAGCUGGUUAGAAUGCCGGCCUGUCACGCCGGAGGUCGCGGGUUCGAGUCCCGUCGGCUCCGCCA
rnacentral:tRNA from 5 species